GCUAUUUUAGUCUGUCAGUUUUCAUUUAAAAUUACGAAAAAGAAGCAAAUGUGACUGACAAUAAUGUGAGAUUUUGAUAAAAAUAUUAAAAGUGGAAUUUAUUUAGCAGGCUUUGUGCUAUAUCGUGUGUUUCGUUAGAGAAACCGACAUAAUAUCUCAUAGAGGUACUCUGACGCAUUACAUUUAUCUGGGACAAAGGUCAACGGUUUCAAAGUAAUAUCUAAGAUUAACGAUUUUUUGUCGUUUAGAAGUUUCGAAAGGGUGUACGUUUCUAUUGGAUACGAGCGGAUGGUUUCUGAGACAUUUAAUUUGGUUUCUUUAUCUCUGUUAAGUGCACGGACACAACCGCACAGUCAGUGUUUUCUUGGAUACAGAAGCCAUCAAUGUGAAUGUGUUUAGUGAGUUAGGUAGUACACUGGGACAGAGUUUUGAUACACUUUGUAUCAUUUUUAUUCAGGAUGAUUCAAUUGUGUAAGUGCAUGGACAUACCACAUUCUGUGGAUAUAUAUUUUAAUGAAACAUCCUCACCCUGUAGUAUUUGCACAACGCCUUCGACCACAGCCAGUAGAACAUAUCUCUGGAACUAACUAAAAAGAAUUGAAUUGCAUGACAUCUUCCACCAUUUUCUCGCAUCAGGUUCUUCAAUGUUUUAUCAACAGAAGUAGGAAUUAUAAAAAUGCAUGAUUUUUGUCAUUUCUUGGUGACGACAUCGCAGGUGACGGCAUCGGUCAGAAACAUAAUUUGAUGGAAUUUAGUCUAACUGCUUAUGACAGAGGUAUGCGUGUUUAUGGAAUACGUGUGUAUGUGUCUUCUUCAGACAUAUAAACGAUGGUGUCUACUUGUAGCAGUAAGCACAAUGCCUAACUUUGUAGUUGUACCUCACUGGAAUAUCACGUCGUAGAUAUGUGACAUAAUACCCCACCCAGUCAUGUUAUACUGACACCUGGCUGAUCAAUUCUAGUACGACCAUCUUGUGUGAGAAAUUUACAUGAACCAUUUUUAUGUCUUUGGUAUGGUGCGGCCAAGAAGUGAACCAAGGACCUCCCACACUCGAAGCGGACGCUCUACCAAUACGCUGUCGAGGCGGCGUAUCCAUAGUACAUUUCAUAUACAUAAUCUUGUUAAUUUAAUGUUUACAUUUAACAUAUAUAAUUAAUUCUUCGCAUUUUCAAUUAUGAAAUUUGUGUCUAGAGUAACUUAAAACCACAUGCUUAAUUUUAUUUUUCUUCUGACAGUUCCAUAUACUUAAUCCUGUCAUGUUUUUGCUCAUAAAGCAGCAUUAAUUAGCAUGAAUAUCAAACUUGCCAGAUUUUUUUGUGAAAUAAAUGUUCCUGUAUGUAGUAAUAUCUUGCGGGUCAUAAAAAUGAAGUACUUACCAUAAAAUGAAGAUACAGCGAAAUGGUCAUUUAUCAUAAUGCAAAUCAUGUUCAUUUGAAAUUAAAAUAAAACCGCAAGCGCUACUACCUACUGGUGCGCAUCUUAAGAUAUGUACCGCCUCGGUAGCUGGUGGCAGAGCCGGGAUAUCAUCAGUUCGCUCCCUGGCCCCGUCAUACCAAAGACGUAAAAAAUGGUACUAGUAGCUUUCUCGCUUGGCGCUCAGCAUUAUGAAGAUAGUUCUAGGACUUGUCAGCCCGAUCAUGCCACGUGUCCACGGUGUGGUGUUCCAGUGAGGCAACCGUAAAAAGUUGGGCAUUGUGCUCACUGCUACAAGUAGACACCGUCGUUUAUAUGAUUGAAAAAAGAUAUUGAAAAAGACGCUAAACAAGUCAAACGCUAGGACGCACGCAGAAAAAUGCAAGUUUGUGUAGUUAUUCUGUGGUUCUACUCAUUCAAGUGCACUUGAGACAAUAAAAAUAUGACUAUUUACGAUUUCCGUUCUUUGAGCCAAAUGUCGAGUGGUUACGGUUGGCGGCGCCUCAAAACCAUUGCUUUGUGUGUAGAACAGUUUCUCUUUCAUGCGGAAUUCAUCCAGCUUCCUUACAGAAGAUCAGUAGUUCUAUCUAGGUGCACGCUCUGGCGGGCACCUGGGGUCUUUCUCCACCAUCAAAAAGAAGAAAAAUGUCAUCACUUGGCCUAUAAUUAUAUGACGUUAACCCAAACAAAAACAAAACAACUGAUUUUCGCGUCCAUCCAAAAUCUAAAAUACACAACAAUCAUUUACAUUUAUCUAUGAUUUUAUAUUAUAAUUUUCAUUGAAAGCAAAUGUUUUAACAGUUCUACGUUUCAACGAACGGUUUUAUGUAAAAAUGAGGAUUUUUAUUUUGCAAAGGAAUAAGGUUAAUAUAAAUAUUUUUCAAAGCACAACCCACAAACAUGUCAGCAUAAUAUGCGGCAUUUGUAAACAUGGAACCAUUUACUAUGAAUCCGUCAUACUUUUAAUGCUAGAUGAAUGUUUAAUUAGAAUC